rnacentral:lncRNA from 11 species
CCUGGUCCUGAAAUGCAUUCUCCAAUCUCAUCCCUUUCCUUCAGAUGGGAAUCUCUCCUCUGUCCACCCACAGAACUAUAUGGUAUGACUCCUUUGUUCCCAUUUCAGAACAGGACAAUGCGGGAGGGCCGGAAAAGAAGAAAGAAGGGAGAGGGAGUGGAGACCAAAGGACUGGAUCCGAAACACAAGAG